rnacentral:lncRNA from 1 species
CGUCCCACAGCGCCCUAUAGCACCCCACUGCGCCCCAUAGCGCCUCACCACACCCAACCGCACCCCACAGCGCCCCACCGCACACAACCAUCCCCCACAGCGCCCCACAGCUCCCUGUACCCCACAGCACCCAGCACUACCCCACACCCCCCACCCCACAUUCCCGCACCCCCCACCUCGGGGCUCUUCCUCUUGAAGCCGCACUCCUUCUUCUUCUCCUCUGUGGGUCCCCAUGACNGGGUCAGUGGGGUCAUGGGUCACAGGGGUCACGGGGGUCACAGGGUCAUGGGUCACAGGGGUCACGGGGGUCACAGGGGUCAUGGGUCACAGGGGGCACAAGGGGCACAGGGGGCACAGGUCACAGGGUCACAGGGUCAGUGGGGUCACGGGGUCACAGGGGUCACCAGUCACAGGUCACAG